rnacentral:rRNA from 1 species
UACGUAGGGUGCGAGCGUUAAUCGGAAUUACUGGGCGUAAAGCGUGCGCAGGCGGUUCGUUGUGUCGGCGGUGAAAGCCCCGGGCUUAACCUGGGAAUGGCCGUUGAAACUGGCGAACUGGAGUGUGGCAGAGGGGGGUUGAAUUCCGCGUGUAGCAGUGAAAUGCGUAGAGAUGCGGAGGAACACCGAUGGCGAAGGCAGCCCCCUGGGCUAACACUGACGCUCAGGCACGAAAGCGUGGGGAGCAAAUAGG